rnacentral:rRNA from 1 species
GACGAACGCUGGCGGCGUGCUUAACACAUGCAAGUCGAACGGAAAGGCCCUGCUUUUGUGGGGUGCUCGAGUGGCGAACGGGUGAGUAACACGUGAGUAACCUGCCCUUGACUUUGGGAUAACUUCAGGAAACUGGGGCUAAUAUCGGAUAGGAGCUCCCGCUGCAUGGUGGGGGUUGGAAAGUUUCGGCGGUUGGGGUUGGACUCGCGGCUUAUCAGCUUGUUGGUGGGGUAGUGGCUUACCAAGGCUUGACGGGUAGCCGGCCUGGGAGGGUGGCCGGCCACAUUGGGACUGAGAUACGGCCCAGACUCCUACGGGAGGCAGCAGUGGGGAAUAUUGCACAAUGGGCGGAAGCCUGAUGCAGCAACGCCGCGUGCGGGAUGACGGCCUUCGGGUUGUAAACCGCUUUCGCCUGUGACGAAGCGUGAGUGACGGUAAUGGGUAAAGAAGCACCGGCUAACUACGUG